GAUGAACGCUGGCGGCGUGCCUAAUACAUGCAAGUCGAGCGAACGGACGAGAAGCUUGCUUCUCUGAUGUUAGCGGCGGACGGUUGAGUAACACGUGGAUAACCUACCUAUAAGACUGGGAUAACUUCGGGAAACCGGAGCUAAUACCGGAUAAUAUUUUGAACCGCAUGGUUCAAAAGUGAAAGACGGUCUUGCUGUCACUUAUAGAUGGAUCCGCGCUGCAUUAGCUAGUUGGUAAGGUAACGGCUUACCAAGGCAACGAUGCAUAGCCGACCUGAGAGGGUGAUCGGCCACACUGGAACUGGGACACGGUCCAGACUCCUACGGGAGGCAGCAGUAGGGAAUCUUCCGCAAUGGGCGAAAGCCUGACGGAGCAACGCCGCGUGAGUGAUGAAGGUCUUCGGAUCGUAAAACUCUGUUAUUAGGGAAGAACAUAUGUGUAAGUAACUGUGCACAUCUUGACGGUACCUAAUCAGAAAGCCACGGCUAACUACGUG
rnacentral:rRNA from 1 species